AUCUUGGGCAGAAAAUACCAAGAUCAAUGGUACCUUUAAUAUAUCUAAGUAUCCUUUUUGCUGCAAUAAAAUGAGUCUCCUUUGGAGAAUGCAUGAACCUUGAAAGAAUGCUCACAGCAAACAAUAUGUCAGGUCUGCUUGCUGUGAGAUAUUGAAGGCUGCCAAUUAAGCCUCUAUACAACCUUUCAUCCACUUUUUCAGAUUCAUCAUCCUUGCUAAGCUUGAUACUUGUUGUCAUAGGAGUCCCUACUGGUUUACAAUCCUGCAUUUUGAAUCUUUUUAGGAUGUCUGAAGCAUACUUCUUUUGGCAUGUAAAAAUGCCAUGGCUGGAUUGCAUCACUUCCAUUCCAAGGAAGUAGUUCAUUAUUCCAAGAUCAGACAUCUCAAACAUCUUCUUCAUUUCAUCUUUGAACUCUUGGAUCAUUCCAAGUUCACUUCCUGUGAUGAGCAUAUCAUCUACGUAAAUAGAUACAAUUAGAAAAUGGUUACCACAGGAUUUCACAUACAAAGUUGCUUCAUUUUGGCUUCUGUUGAACCCAAAUUGAAACAGAUGUGUGUCCAUUCUGUCAUACCAAGCUCGGGGAGCUUGUUUCAACCCAUACAAGGCCUUCUUUAGUAGAUACACAUAAUCUUCUUUAUCUUUAACAACAUACCCAUCAGGUUGCUCUACAAAGAUUUCUUCAGCAAGAAAUCCAUUCAAGAAGGCAGACUUGACAUCAAGUUGGUGAAUCUGCCAAGAGUUAUGUGCUGCAAGUGUAAUGAGAAGUCUAAUAGUAUCAUACCUUGCUACUGGAGCAAAGGUCUCUAGGUAGUCCACACCAUAUUGCUGAGCAUAACCCUUUACCACCAAUCUAGCCUUGUAUUUGCAUAUUGACCCAUCUGGAUUGAGUUUUGUUUUAAAAACCCAUCUUACACCUAUCACCUUGCGAUGCUUAGGCCUUUCAAUCAACUGCCAUGUUGCAUUUUUGUUGAUCAUUUCCAUUUCUGCCUCCAUUGCUCUCCUCCAUGCUGGAAAUUCUUGAGCUUCAGUAUAGCUGGUUGGUUCUAGAAUUGCCAUGUUGCAUCUUAGGUGAAUAUCUUCCAAUGAUCUUGUGCCUCUAACUGGAAAGUCAUCCACUGAUUCAUCAGCUACCAGCUGAGGUUGAAUGGUGAAUGGUUGAUCAGAAAUCAUAUUUUUCUGAUGUUCCCAAUCCCAUGUGAUUGCUUCAUCAACCUUCACAUCUCUGCUGAGAAUUACCUUCUCUGUUUGUAAGCAAAGGAUUCUGUAUCCUUUGGUAGUUAUUCCAUAGCCCACAAGAACUCCCUUCUGAGCUUUGUUGUCAAGUUUGCUCCUCUUUGGCUCAGCUAUAUGAUAAUAGCAUAUGCUGCCAAAGAUUCGAAGAUGAUCUACAGCAGGUUUGACACCAUUCCAGCCUUCAUAUGGUGUCUUGUCCUCCAUUGCUUUGGUUGGAAGUCGGUUCAGCAAGUAAACAGAGGUAUUGACUGCCUCUGCCCAUAAUUUGUUUGGCAUUUUCUUUUCAAGUAAGAGACAUCUAGCCAUCUCCAUUACUGUUCUGUUCUUCCUCUCACACACACCAUUUUGUUGUGGUGUGUAUGGUGUAGUGUACUGGUGCACAAUGCCUCUGCUGUUGCAAAACUCAAGAAACUGAUUUGAGGUAUAUUCAGUACCAUUGUCAGAUCUUAAGCAUUUAAUUAGCAUGUCACUUUGAUUCUCAACUAAAGCUUUGAAUGUUUGAAAGAUUGUAAAUACUUCACUCUUAAAUUUGAUGAAAUACACCCAACACAUCCUAGUAUAAUCAUCAAUGAAGAGAAUAAAAUACUUGUUACCACAUAAUGAGGCUGUCUUCAUAGGUCCACACACAUCAGUGUGGAUGAGCUGAAGCUUUUGGCUGGCUCUCCCUGCUUGCCCUUUAGGAAAUGGUGGUCUGGAUUGCUUGCCAAGUUGACAUGUUUCACACAAUUGAAGCUCACCAUUCAAUGUAGGCAAUGCUUCAACCAUUUCCUUUUGUUUCAGAAUUGACAAACCCUUUUGAUUGAAAUGGCCAAAUCUUUUAUGCCAAAGAUUUGAAAUAUCCUGAGUAGCACUCACAUAUGCAUGAUUGGAUACUUUAUCCCAGUCAACAACAAAGCUUCUGUUUUUCAUCUUUACACAGAACACUUGUUCUCCAGAAGGAUCAAAGAUAGUGCAUUUAUGAUCCUUAAACUGAAGAGAAUAGUUUUUCUCCAUCAUUUGUCCAACACUCAACAAAUUUUGACUGAUUUCAGAAAUUCUCCAUUGCCAACCUUUACUCUGGAUUUGUAAGAUUCAUCAAGGGUUUUGAACAUUCCAGCAUCAUUGCACAAAUGGUGUGUGCAUCCACUAUCGAUAAGCCAAGUAUCAGCUGAAUCAUUUGUUGAGAAACAAGUGACAGCAAAGAAUUGCUCCUCCUGUGUAUCAACUUCAUCCGCAAAGUGAGCUUGUUGAGGUUUUGGGUCUGAAUUUUUAAACUUGCAGACCUUUGUGAUGUGCCCUGAUUGCUUGCAAUUUCCACAAAUUGCAUCUGGCCUCCACCAGCAAUAUUUUUCUAAAUGUGUGUUUCUUUUGCAGUGAGUGCAAGGAGGAAACUUCUUCUGUUUUGAACCUUCACUGGUGCUGCCCCCUUCAUUUUUGCCUUUACUUCUCAGAUUAAGCAACUUCUUUCCUUUUACAGCUUGUUGUUUUUGCACAUAAAAGGCUCCUUCUGUCAAUCUGUCUUGCCUGAUUGUUCUUCGUUGCUCCUGUGCUUGAAGAGCACUCAUUAGUUCACCUAAUGAGAUUUUACUAAGGUCCUUUGAUUCUUCCAGAGAAGAGAUUUUGGAUUCAAACCUCUCAGGAAGAGUCACAAGAACCUUCUCCACAAUCCUGCUGUCAGGAAAGUCUUCUCCAAGUAAUCUGAUGUUGUUGAUAAUUAGUGAAAUUCGAUCAGAAUACUUGGAGAUUGUUUCAUCUUCUUGCAUGCUAAGUGCCUCAAAAUCUCUCUUCAAAUUCAGCACUUGCAUUUGCCUUGUUCUGUCACUGCCUUGGUAUUCUUCUUUUAGUUUGUUCCAAGCCUCUUUGGCUGAAUUGCAUGCCAUAAUUCUGUAGAAAAUGCUUUCUGCCACAGAAUUCUGGAUGAUUGAUUUUGCCUUGGAUUUCUUUGCCUUUUCCUCAUUGCUGAACUUGAUUUGAGCUAUAGUGGGAUUUGUUGGUAAGGGAGCUACUGGUUUGUCUUCGGAAACAAUUUCCCAAAGAUCAUAAGCUUCAAGAAAAGCUUGCAUCUUCACUGACCAAAUGUGGUAGUUUUCGCCAGUGAAUAUAAUAGGGGAGUUUAAAAGUAGGUUGUUGGAUGUCAUUUUUGAGAUUUGAAAAAAAAUGUUUUGGUCCUGUAAGAUCUAAGAGAGCUCUGAUACCACUGUUGAGAAUUAUAUUGCUGUGUUUUGUGCAGGUGAAGGGAUGCACAAUCAAGAACAACAAUGCUGAGUAAUGAAGAACACGAACUACACACAAGGUGUUUGAUAAAAUGUCUCAGUGAGUAUUUCAUUAACUGCAUGUCUUUAAAUACAUGAGAAAACUUAACAAACUUCCCUAGUUAACAGCCACUAACUCUGUAGUGGACAAUGUGCUACCACUAACUCUGUAGUGGACAAUGUGUUUCCACUAACUUAGCAACAACUUCAGAAAACAAGGGAUUUACUUUGACCAAAUCAAAACAGAAAUGAAAAGAAAAGAAAACAGACAAUACUUGAUUUAGACAAA